UACGUAGGGGCCGAGCGUUGUCCGGAUUUACUGGGCGUAAAGAGCGCGCAGGCGGUCGUUCAAGUCGCGUGUGAAAGCCCCCGGCUCAACUGGGGAGGGUCACGCGAUACUGAUCGACUCGAAGACAGGAGAGGGAAGUGGAAUUCCCGGUGUAGUGGUGAAAUGCGUAGAUAUCGGGAGGAACACCAGUGGCGAAGGCGACUUCCUGGCCUGUUCUUGACGCUGAGGCGCGAAAGCUAGGGGAGCAAACGGG
rnacentral:rRNA from 1 species